rnacentral:misc_RNA from 1 species
AACGGUCUAUACCUGCGGUACCUGCGGAGGGAUCAUUAACGAUUUCGGUGUAAAAAACCGUUUUCUACCUAUGUCUACGCGUACCACUUGUUUCCUCGGGGGGCUUGCCCCCCGCUAGGACCCUUUAUCAAACCUUUUUGUAAUAGCAGUCAGCGUCUGAUACUACGUUAAUUAUUAAAACUUUCAACAAUGGAUCUCU